GACGAGCCACACGAACGUUAUUCGGAAUUACUGGGCGUAAAGCGUGCGUAGACGGUUAUUUAAGUCGGGUGUGAAAGCCCCGGGCUCAACCUGGGAAUUGCAUUCGAGACUGAAUAGCUAGGGUACGGUAGAGGGAAGUGGAAUUUCCGGUGUAGCGGUGAAAUGCGUAGAUAUCGGAAGGAACAUCAGUGGCGAAAGCGCCUUCCUGGACCAGUACCGACGUUCAGGCACGAAAGCGUGGGGAGCAAACAGG
rnacentral:rRNA from 1 species